AUGGAAAAUUAUUUGCAUUUCACUUUAACUUUAUUUUGUUUUCCAUUUCAGAGUUAAAUAUAAUCACUGCACAAGUACAAAGACACUUGCAUGAUAAACCUGGUUUAUUUCCAUUUCAGGUGAUGCAUUGCACAGAGAUAACCCUGAAGUACCCAGCACCUAUGAAGUAUACAGAGGUAGGCCUGAUCAAAAAUAUUUUGUAAAAUUGUUU
rnacentral:lncRNA from 1 species